rnacentral:tRNA from 1 species
GGGCAGGUACUCAAGUGGCCAACGAGGCUUGACUGUAAAUCAAGUGGCUAACGCCUACAGAGGUUCGAAUCCUCUCCUGCCCACCA